CAUCGAUGGUCGUCAUUGCAUAUAUCACAAAUUACAUCCUGGAUCCUGGAUCCAGUAGUAGUAGACGACAGUGGAGGACCGACCGGACAUGAAAGGCUUGAAAGUUGUCUGGGAAUGGGAUCGGGGCAAAAACUGAUUCGGAGUCUCUGGCUAUGAAGUGGAC